rnacentral:rRNA from 1 species
GACGAACGCUGGCGGCGUGCUUAACACAUGCAAGUCGAACGGAAAGGCCCUGCUUUUGUGGGGUGCUCGAGUGGCGAACGGGUGAGUAACACGUGAGUAACCUGCCCUUGACUUUGGGAUAACUUCAGGAAACUGGGGCUAAUACCGGAUAGGAGCUCCUGCUGCAUGGUGGGGGUUGGAAAGUUUCGGCGGUUGGGGACGGACUCGCGGCUUAUCAGCUUGUUGGUGGGGUAGUGGCUUACCAAGGCUUUGACGGGUAGCCGGCCUGAGAGGGUGACCGGCCACAUUGGGACUGAGAUACGGCCCAGACUCCUACGGGAGGCGGCAGUGGGGAAUAUUGCACAAUGGGCGGAAGCCUGAUGCAGCAACGCCGCGUGCGGGAUGACGGCCUUCGGGUUGUAAACCGCUUUCGCCUGUGACGAAGCGUGAGUGACGGUAAUGGGUAAAGAAGCACCGGCUAACUACGUGCCAGCAGCCGCGGUGAUACGUAGGGUGCGAGCGUUGUCCGGAUUUAUUGGGCGUAAAGGGCUCGUAGGUGGUUGAUCGCGUCGGAAGUGUAAUCUUGGGGCUUAACCCUGAGCGUGCUUUCGAUACGGGUUGACUUGAGGAAGGUAGGGGAGAAUGGAAUUCCUGGUGGAGCGGUGGAAUGCGCAGAUAUCAGGAGGAACACCAGUGGCGAAGGCGGUUCUCUGGGCCUUUCCUGACGCUGAGGAGCGAAAGCGUGGGGAGCGAACAGGCUUAGAUACCCUGGUAGUCCACGCUGUAAACGGUGGGUACUAGGUGUGGGGUCCAUUCCACGGGUUCCGUGCCGUAGCUAACGCUUUAAGUACCCCGCCUGGGGAGUACGGCCGCAAGGCUAAAACUCAAAGGAAUUGACGGGGCCCCGCACAAGCGGCGGAGCAUGCGGAUUAAUUCGAUGCAACGCGUAGAACCUUACCUGGGUUUGACAUGGAUCGGGAGCGCUCAGAGAUGGGUGUGCCUCUUUUGGGGUCGGUUCACAGGUGGUGCAUGGCUGUCGUCAGCUCGUGUCGUGAGAUGUUGGGUUAAGUCCCGCAACGAGCGCAACCCUUGUUCACUGUUGCCAGCACGUUAUGGUGGGGACUCAGUGGAGACCGCCGGGGUCAACUCGGAGGAAGGUGGGGAUGACGUCAAGUCAUCAUGCCCCUUAUGUCCAGGGCUUCACGCAUGCUACAAUGGCUGGUACAGAGAGUGGCGAGCCUGUGAGGGUGAGCGAAUCUCGGAAAGCCGGUCUCAGUUCGGAUUGGGGUCUGCAACUCGACCUCAUGAAGUCGGAGUCGCUAGUAAUCGCAGAUCAGCAACGCUGCGGUGAAUACGUUCCCGGGGCU